rnacentral:rRNA from 1 species
GCUACGGGUGGCAGCAGUGAGGAAUAUUGGUCAAUGGCCGAGAGGCUGAACCAGCCAAGUCGCGUGAGGGAAGACGGCCCUACGGGUUGUAAACCUCUUUUGUCGGGGAGCAAAGAGAGUCACGUGUGGCUCAUUGAGAGUACCCGAAGAAAAAGCAUCGGCUAACUCCGUGCCAGCAGCCGCGGUAAUUCGGAGGAUGCGAGCGUUAUCCGGAGUGAUUGGGUUUAAAGGGUGCGCAGGCGGAGGGGCAAGUCAGUGGUCACAUUGCGGGGCUCAACCCCGGACUGCCGUUGACACUGGAUCCCGUGAGGGCGCGAGAGGGAUGCGGAAUGCGUGGUGUAGCGGUGAAAUGCAUAGAUAUCACGCAGAACUCCGAUUGCGAAGGCAGCAUACCGGCGCGCAACUGACGCUCAUGCACGAAAGCGUGGGUAUCGAACAGGAUUAGAUACCCUUGUAGUC